UACGAGGGGGGCAAGCGUUGUUCGGAGUUACUGGGCGUAAAGGGUGCGUAGGCGGUUGUUUAAGUUUGGUGUGAAAUCUCCCGGCUCAACUGGGAGGGUGCGCCGAAUACUGAAUGACUAGAGUGCGGGAGAGGAGAGUGGAAUUCCUGGUGUAGCGGUGAAAUGCGUAGAUAUCAGGAGGAACACCGGUGGUGUAGACGGCUCUCUGGACCGUAACUGACGCUGAGGCACGAAAGCGUGGGUAGCAAACAGG
rnacentral:rRNA from 1 species